rnacentral:rRNA from 1 species
UACAGAGGGGGCAAGCGUUAUUCGGAAUUAUUGGGCGUAAAGGGCGCGUAGGCGGCUUUGCAAGUGGCGGGUGAAAUCCCUCGGCUUAGCCGAGGAACUGCCUGUCAAACUGCAUGGCUUGAGACCAGGAGAGGUGAGUGGAAUUCCCAGUGUAGCGGUGAAAUGCGUAGAUAUUGGGAGGAACACCAGUGGCGAAGGCGGCUCACUGGACUGGUACUGACGCUGAUGCGCGAAAGCGUGGGGAGCAAACAGG